CUUCUGCAGACAGUCAAAUUUGCAUCUUGUUUUUUUUUUUCGGUUGGUUCUUUUCCUGCCAAUUCGCUGAGCUUAUUGUUAGAGUUUAUGUGUCCUUUUCAUUGAUCUCUAGUUUGUUUUGCUGGGUAUUUGCGCAAUACAUUUUCAAUUACCAAAAAAUAAACUAAAGCUACCUGAUUUAUAGGGCCUGUUUUUCUUUUCCAAUGGCCCUGAGCACCCAAAGAGCCUCUACAUCUGGUACUUCCGCUGAAUGGGCUCCUCCACAUUGGAAGCAUGAUGUGUUUUUGAGUUUCAGGGGAGAGGACACUCGCAGGGGUUUUAUAUCUCAUUUAUACCACGAACUGCAGUACUGGCAAGCAAUAAAAACUUUCGAGGACGACAGAGACCUUGAAAUAGGAGCAAGUAUUUCUCCGGAGCUGUUGACCGCAAUCAAACAAUCACAUCUUGCCAUCAUUAUUCUCUCCCCAAAUUACGCUUCUUCCACCUGGUGCUUGGAUGAACUUUCAAAAAUUCUUGAAUGCAUGAAAGACAGCAAGAGAAUUAUACCAAUCUUUUAUGAGGUUGAUCCUUAUGAUGUGCGAAAUCGAAGGGCGAGUUUUACGGAAGCAUUCACUAAGCAUGAAGAAAAGUUCAGUGAAGAUGUAGACAAGGUGAAGCGGUGGAGAGAUGCUUUAAAAGAAGUUGCCAAUCUCUCUGGGUUGGAUUCAAAGAAUUAUCAGUAAGCAUGCAUGCAUGAAACGUGCCCAUUUCUUAACAAAUUUAGAGGGCUUUACUUGGAUGCUAAGUUUUAGUUCUUCCUUUGAUGCAACACCUUGUUAAUUAUAUGUAAUGUGUACCCUCCUGAUAGUUAGUUCACUUUUCUUCCUUGUAGGUGUGAAAGAGAGCUUAUCAAAGUCAUUGUCAAACGUGUGUGGACCAAAGUUACUCCAUUUAGGUUGUUAGAUUCUCAAGAGAAGUUAGUCGGAGCAACUAAGUUUGCAAUUAGACUCUCGGAACGACACUGUUGAGAUGCAUGAUUUGAUACAAGAAAUGGCAUGGGAAAUUGUUCGUCAAGAGUGUAUCCAAGAGCCUGGUCAACGAAGUCUUUUGUGGCUUCGCGAUGAUAUCUCUCGUGUUAUCAUAAACAAUACAGGAACCGGAGCAAUUGAAGCCAUUGGCUUGCGUUUGCCGAAAUUAGAAGAGGUGGAUUGGAAUUAUACUGCAGCCUUCUCUAAGAUGCACGGAUUAAGGCUUCUUCACUUUGAUAAUGUGAUCGUUUCUUAAGCCCCAAAAGAUCUUCCAAAUUCCUUAAGAACUAUCCGUUGGAGUUGGUACCCUUCUAAAUCACUCCCAUCAAGUUUCGAACCACGUUUCCUUGUUGAACCAAACACGAGGGACUGCAAACUUUCCCGUCUUUGGGAUGGAGCAAAGGUCUUGCCAAACUUGAAAUUUAUGGACCUUAGUUACUCUGAUCAAUUGACAAGUACCCCAGAUUUCACAGGCAUUCCAAAUCUUGAGAUUUUGUGGCUAGAUUUUUGUACGAGUUUAGUUGAGGUUCAUCCCUAUGUUGCAGUUCUAAAAAAGCUGAGACAUUUGGACCUUACGGAGAAAAGUGGUUCAGCCAAACGGGGAAAAGUGGUUUCCAACCUAUGCGUUCUUCCCAUACCACCACCAACAUAUAGGUUGAACCCUUGUGGAAAAGUGCCAAACUAACUAUACUUGACCAUGGAUGAUCUUGCCGAUAAGUUUGGAAUUGGUUCACUUCGUUUGACCACCAGACAAACGUUUCAGAUCCAUGGUGUUCUGAAAAAGGACCUUAAGACUGUAAUGAGUAGCUGUGCUGCAAUGUUCUCUGCAGUCUGCUGUGCGAAAAGGUAAUCUUUUCUUUGUAUUGGAGCAGGAGGAGCAAGAACAUUUCUGUUAAGAUCACCACAGGCGCCAAGGGUUGAAGCCAUGCUAUUAAUGAUGCUACUCAUUACAGUCUUAAGGUCCUUUUUCAGAACACCGUUUGUCUGGUAAUCCAAGUGUGGGAGAUUCAAUAACUGUGGAGCUGCCUCUCCCUCCACACCCAUCAAAUAGCAGCGACUGGGUUGGGAUUGCUUUAUGUGUUGUUUUUUAUGAUUCUGAAUAUUUUGAUAGUCCCGCAUCCCUUCUUGGAUAUGAGGAUUUAAAAAUUGAAGUUCGAUCAUCUCAGAGAUAUUUGGAUGACCUUCAAGUAUAUUUGGAUGAUUUCGUCAGAACACCUUGGUGUUUUUUAUUUGCCUCGCGAUCAUCCAAGCCUCACGGAUGCCUCAACCAGUCAUCGGUUUUCGUUCGUAACGCAUUAUUCUUCAAUUAGAGGUUUGAAAGAACUCAAAACAAGCUCGAUUAUAAAGGAAUGUAGGGCCCGUUUGGUGUACAAGAGAGAUUUGGAAGAAUUCAGCCGUUUGAUGUACUGUGACGAGGCAGGUCCAAUUGGUCGUAUUGGAAGUGGUAGCUCUGAUGAGGACGAUGAACCAGUCGGCAAAAGAUUGAAGAAAGUCUAAAUUAUUUUGUGCAUGGUGCAAUCAUUCAAUGAGGUCUCAAAAUAAUACUUGAAAAGCUAAUGACGAUGAUGGUCAAUCCUCAGAAUUCAUCUCAGUAAGUCACCUUUUAUUUUCAUUUUUCUUUUGAGCUACUGUUUAAUUUGCUCUGAAACUUGUCAAUCUGACUGACGGAAGGACACUAUCUAUCUAUCAUUGCUUAAUUUGAAGUAUUUAAUAAUACCUGUCUCUCAUCUAGCUUCAAAUUUGACGAAAAGCAACCAAUGCAUUGGUAGGAGGAGAGAGAGUAAUUCUUACUAAGUAGUUUUGUCUGAAAAUGGACUAAGCCUGCAUAUAGUUACUUUUAUCAAUGUGUUAAUUAAAAAUGAUAAUUUCUCCUCUGUUGCAAACAGAAAACAACAGAACAAAUCCUAAAAUGUAUAUAAUAUGCUAUAGAUUUACAAAACUAACUUGUGCUCUGCUUCCAGGACUUCAUUUUUCCUUAAAUUGUUUGCCCUUUUUCUAUGUUCGAGAUAUUUUCUGAGUGGAUAUGACUUGGAUUAACUUGUUCAUUUCAAUGUGUUAGAAUAUUUACUUCCUAUAGGCCUCAAGUACAAGAACAUUUUCAGAGCAACCUUUCAAUGCUGUGCUAUCAAACUUUUGCUAUAGUGAAAUAAUGUGUGGAAAAUGUUAGUAUGGUUCUGAGUCUACUGACCAUAGUUACCCAAAUCACUCACCCCCCUUACGAAUUUCAAACUGGAUCGCACGUACCGAAUCGUGGUAUGUUAGCGUUCUGGAACGAUACAUUUAGCCAACCAAAACUCAUAAGGAUUAGAACAAUACAUGAGCGACCCUGCUGCCCAAACUCGAUUGUUUGUUCCAAUCAUCAACUUAAUAGGGUGGUGGGAGAGCGAUAGAGGGAGCCAUGAAAAGAGAGAAAGCGAUGGAAAGAGAAAGCCAUGGAAAUAGAGAACAAUGUGUUAGAAUAUUUAGGCCUCGAGUAAAUGAACAUUUUCAGAGCAACCAUUCAAUGCUGUGUUACCAAACUGUUGCUAUAGUGAAUUAAUGUGUGGAAAAUGUUAGUAUUGUUCUGGGUCUUCUGACCAAAAGAAAAAAAAGAGGAGAAAAUAGUUAAUAAUGAAGAAAGAAUGUGUGUGAAAAAUCUAGGAAAAAAGGAUGAGAGAAUAAGACGCAGAGAGAAUUGUAAUUAUUGUACGUAUAUUUCCUCUGUUUCCACUAUAUUGAAAUGAGUAUAGUAUUUCCUAUUAUAUACAGCUUCGGUAGAUUUCUCUAGAGCUAAGGUUAUUUACAAGGAAUAUGGAGAUAUGGACAAGUGUAGGCCUGCUAUUGAUUCAGCCGUUUUCCUUGGAGUUUCUAAAGGAAUGUGAGUGAAGGAAAUUUGCUGCAUUAUUUGGCUUGCUCAUUGCUGCUUUACGAUUAUAGCUGCUUUUGGAUUUUGCAGCAGGCGUGUAAAUUUGCAUCUUUGCUGUUAUUUAAAUUUAUUUUGAUAGAAAAUCAGGAAAGGAAAGGAGAGGUGGUUAGUUCAUGAGGGAAGAGAGAAUAACAGAGAAGGAGCGGCAAAAGGAAAUGUGAGUUUUAGCUUUACAACAAAAAUUAGCAGGAGUGGAGCAAUUAACAUAAUUAAAUUUUGAAAGUUCUCUUGGAAAAACAGUUGGCAUUAUCGGCUUGGGAAGAAUUGGCAAAGCCAGAGUUGAAGUACAAGGAAUACCAUCUAAGUUCCAUGGAGUUAGUUGGUUGUGUGAACUCUGAUCACUUCUGAGGAGACCAACGACAUUGUUGAUUUUGUAGUCAUCGAUGCUUGCGAAAACGGUAUUCUCGUUAACAUUGGAAGAGGCCUUAAUGUUGAUGAACCUGAGUCUCUGCACUGCUGGAUGGUUUCUGCUGAAAUGGUUAGUAACUGAAACAUUUAGAACAUGGUUGGUAACUUGGGAGGUAUCUUAUUCUGCUUGAAUGGUUUCUGCUGUAGGUUCAAGUCCACUCCACAUGUUGUAUAUGUUUGAUACAGUUGGGCUAUGGUGAUGAAAGGAUUACUAAGUCUGGUGAAUACGGAAGGUACUCAAGUUGUAGAAAAACAGUGUUGGUGGAUGGAGGACAUCAGCAUAAAAGCUUUCUGGCCUCCCCUUUGUUAUUUCUGCAAGUGACAAACUUGUUGGAACUCCUCUACAAGUUUGGCGUGCUCCUUGUGGCAAUGACCUCUCUCUUGUAAUGAUAAAACAAAUAAGAAAAGGAAAUGCAAAUUUGGGGAAUGACAAAUGCAGCUAAACCUCCCAAUCCAAGAGCCAUCUCCACUAUCCUGUUUUUCUUUCAUAAGAAUGAUCAACAGGGAUGCUGUUGGUAAUUGAAUCAUCUGAUGAAGAGCACAAGUGGAUGAGACCCAAAAGUCUUGAAUCUCCACCUAUUCACAAGGUGAAAUUGAUCAUAAAGGGCAGAGUCUGUUGCAUUAUCUGCAAUGGCAGUAAGUGAGUAGUCAAAGCAUAAGACUACAACAAAUGAGGAUAUAGCUUUCCUCUCGGUUUAUACUAGUAGUCUAUGAUUCUUAAUAUAUUGUGUACAUGUCUCAGUUAAACUAUUAUUUUUGUCACGUAAUUCUAAUCUUGGAACAUCAACUUCCUUCAUUGUAUCAGAGCUUAUCGUGUUGGGGCCCAACGACCACACAUGCUAUGACGUCACCUAAUAUGCAUUGUCUGCAUGUUAGGCUUCCUACAUUAAAAAGUUAAGGGACAUAACUUGGUUUAUAAGGAGUUCGGCUACUCCUUUAUUACCAAAUAGUUUUGAUAUAGAACCUCAACUUCCUUCAUGACUUUGAUAUUGGGCCCUGGCAUAUUGUGU